rnacentral:rRNA from 1 species
GGCGGACGGGUGAGUAAUGCUUGGGAAUUUGCCUAGUAGUGGGGGACAACACGAGGAAACUCGUGCUAAUACCGCAUACGCCCUACGGGGGAAAGCGGGGGAUCUUCGGACCUCGCGCUAUUAGAUGAGCCCAAGUCCGAUUAGCUUGUUGGUGAGGUAAAGGCUCACCAAGGCGACGAUCGGUAGCUGGUCUGAGAGGACGAUCAGCCACACUGGGACUGAGACACGGCCCAG